rnacentral:lncRNA from 1 species
CUCAAUUAAGGUUCUAUUUUAUUAAUUAUCAAUUAAGGUUAUAUUAAUCAAAAUAUAAGAAGAGAGUCAGUUUUCCCUGCCCUUACAAUUUCAUUGAGCGCUCUUCAAAUCAUAUACACUUUGCUUGAGUUCAUCUGUUUUUCUUUCUUACUAAUUUCUCGGAUCAACACAUCUCCCUGUGAUUGUGAACCUAUUACAAUUUCAAGCAGAGAUGGAAAAAUAUUUCACAGCGACAGGUGAAAAGGUUAGGAACUACAUACAUGAUGAACUUGCAUUUUCCAUUCUAUCAAAAUUACCUCUGAAAUCUUUAAAACGAUUUAGAUGUGUUCGUAAAUCAUGGACACUUUUAUUUGAAAACCAUCAUUUUAUGAGUACCUUCUGCAAAAAUUUAAUAUCUAAUCACCAUUAUUACUAUGGUGAUGUAUCUCUACUUUUACAAAUUGGUGAUAGAGAUUUGCUUUCACUUUCAAGUGAUAGAUAUGAGAAUAUGGUGAAAUUAGAUUGGCCAAAUCCUUUCAAGAGGAGGAUCCUUGGUUCUGUAUUUUAGAUUCUGGUAGUAUUACCGGAAUUCUUUGCCUCUACAACAGAAAUAAUAGAAAUAAUGAAAGAACUGUAUUUUGGAACCCAGCUACUAAAGAAUUCAAAGUUAUUCCUCCAAGCCCCCUCGAGGCUGUUCCAACUUAUCAAGGGUUUGGUACUGUUCUUCAUGGGUUUGGCUAUAACCAUGCUAGAGAUGAUUAUAAGUUGAUUAGAUAUUUAUAUUAUUUUUUACCAAGUUCCCGAGAUUUUGAAGAUUUGGGCAUAUCAUUACAAGACGUGCCGUGGGGAGAUAUAUCAAAUGAUUCCUUUUGGGAGAUAUAUAGUCUUAGAAGUAAUUCUUGGAAAAAACUUGAUAUCAAUAUGUACUUGGGUGAUAUACGUUGUUCUUUUUCUGGGUUUGAUUGUGUUAAAAGUCAGCGGUUGUACUUGGAUGGAAGAUGUCAUUGGUGGCAUUUAAUUGACCAUCCUGAUGCUAAAAGAGCAUUGGCGUCGUUUGACUUGGUCAAUGAGGUGUUCUUUACAACACUCAUACCCUUAGACCCGCCUUUAGAUGUAGAUGAUAUAUUUAGCGUUUUUUCAAGGCCCUUAUACUUGGUUGCGUUAAGUGGUUCCAUUGCAUUGAUCUUAUGGGAUUUCGGUACACCUACGUUUGACAUAUAUGUUUUAGGUGAAGUUGGUGUGAAAGAAUCAUGGACUAAGCUUUUUACCAUUGGCCCAUUGGCUUGCAUUCAGCGUCCUAUCGGAGUAGGAAGCAAGGGUGUAUUUUUUAUAAAAGAAGAUGGUGAAAUAGUUUGGUUUAAUUGGAAUAGCCAGAUGACUGAAGACCUUGGGAUUAAAGAAAAUACAUUAAAUUUUAGUCAUGUAUUACUUUAUAAAGAAAAUUUUCUUCUUAUGGGAGGAUAAAUCAUCGAUCUAAUAUCUAUUUUGUACCUAGGAGAUUUAUAACUAUGGAUAUUAAGAUUUUACAAUCUUUAUUUUUAUUUGUCAUGAUGGAACAACAUUCCCGAUGUUGAAAUAACUUACAUGUAUGGAACUUUAUAUUAUAAUCGGAACUACACACACAAACUUACACACAUGCGCAGGGGCGGAUCUAGUGUGGUCUGCACAACCUCAACUUUAAAUAAUUGCAUCAAUAUUUAUAAUAUCGUGAAUUCUGCACAUCAUAAUUAAGGGUCUCUUUUUUAUUUGCACAUUAGGCCCAAAGGACUUCCUCACAACCCAAGGCAGUACAACUUUUCACUACCUUUUCUCGCACACAUAUGCGACAUCACAUCACUAGUAUUAGUUUGUUUUUUUUUUUUUAACUAAGUCAAAAUGAAAUAUAUGAAAUCAACAUAAGUGAUUCAUCGCGCAAAAGAUGUGCAAAAGAGAACCGCCCAAAAUUUUGUACAAGUCAAGUCACUGAUGUCUCAUCAAAGAACAUUCUGAAAUAAAACAGAAGAAACAUACACAAAUUACAGCAAAAGUCCCAUAUAAGAUAAAGGAUGUCGCCACCAGUCAUGAUAGCUGAACGUGAAAGUAAUCAGACCCAACUUCGACCACUAGAUAGAUAGCAGUUUUACCUUGUCUGUUACUUGUUGUGGAUCUAGUGCCUUGUGAUUAAUAACCCGGUUGUUCCUUUCCUUCCAAAUGAUCCAGACACACGAAAGACAUAUCGUUGUAACGCCCUCUCUAAUUAUUUGAUUAUUUUAAAUGAGUUUAGAAUAUACUUAUAUGAUUUAUGUGAUUUAUAUGAUUUAUUUUGAUAAGUGAUAUUUUGUUAUGAUAUAUGUUAUAUAUUUAUUAAUAUAAUAUAUAUGUUAUUUGAUUUAGAAAUAUGUAUAUGUUUUAGAAAAAUAUAUGUUAAUUGGUUUAGAAAUAUAUGUUAAUUGGUUUAGAAAAUAUAUGUUAAUUGGUUUAGAAAAUAUAUGUUAUUUGGUUCAUAAAUAUAUAUGAUUCGUUUUAGAAAUAAAUGUGAUUUGUUAUAGAAAUAAACGUUAUUUAUUAUAAAAAUAUAUAUGAUUUGUUGCAGAAAUAAAUGUGAUUUGUUAUAGAAAUAAACGUUAAUUAUUAUAGAAAUAUGUAUGAUUCGUUUUAGAAAUAUAUGUCAUUUGUUAUAAAAAUAUAUAAAUGAUUUGUUGUGGAAAUAUAUAUAUAUAUAUAUAUAUAUAUAUGUUAUAGAGAUAUAUUUGUUAUUUAUUAUUGUUCUAGAAAUAUUUUAUAUAUAUAUAUAUAUAUAUAUAUAUAUAUAUAUAUAUAUAUAUAUAUUAGAAUAGAAUAUUGAAAUUUUGGUAGGCAAUCUAAUAUAUUUUUGUACUUAAUAUAAUAUAUUUUGGUACUCAAUUGAUAUAUUUAAUUACUAGAUCUAAUAGGUGCAUUACUUGUUUCCAAAGUUUCUCACUUAUUAGUUGUAAAUUAUCUCUAUAAAUAGAGAACUCACACAGUGCAUUCUACACACCGAAAUUCACAGUUGAUGCUUCCUGUGCUUUUCUUCUCUUCUCCCUCUUUUGACUUGGGUUGACGAGUCUUUCUUCUUUUUCUACUCCUUUCUGUCCCUUCGGAAUUAAAAGUGUUCUUAAGGCUAUAAUCCCUCUUAUGUUUAAUGUCCUUUUAAAGAAGAGAAAGCGGUAUAGUUCUUCGUCGAUCAAUCCAAGGUAAGGGUGAGACUAACUUUGCAAUUCUAUUAAGUACGUGAAUCAAUGGUUAGGUUUAACAUGAUGUAGGAUGAGUUUUUGAGGAAUUGAAAAGUAUGUUAAAAUUGUAGAAUUAAUGAAUAAACGGUGGAAACUUGUUAAAAAGAUGUAGAAACUGUCCUUAGACCUUAGAUAAUGAUUAAAAUGAUUUGUUGAUAUUUAUAAUGUUAUAUAAUUAGAUAUAUAUUGCAUGAAUUAUGAUUGAUGAAUUAGUAUAUGUAUGUAUAUGUUUGUGAAUACGAUAUUGUCCAUGAUUGAUGAAGUUUUAUAUGUAUAUAUGAUGUUUUAAGAUGUUGAUUAUUAUUUGAUGUUGUUAUAUUGUGAUAUAAUUGUAUAUGCAUUACUUGAAUUAUAUGUGAAUAAUUGAGACGUUGUUGACUUGUAUUUGAUAUUAUUAUGUCAUGCUGUUUUUGUAUACUGCUGUGUUGCUGUUGUUAUUUAACUAAGCUGCAUGAGUCGGUCUAAGUUGAUUAAGAUGAUGAAGUUCCAAAUUAUUGGAUUAUACAAGAGUUUGUCGAUUUAAGAUGUUAAGAGGUCGAGUCCAUGCAUUAACAUUUCAUUGUUGGGGGCUUGAUGCCCUGGAGCCUUUGCUCAAUUAAGUUGAGGGCUUGAUGCCCUGGGAGCCUUUUUACGCUCAAUAAAGUUGAGGGCUUGAUGCCCUGGGAGCCUAUUUACGCUCAAAGAUUGGUACCACAUGCAUGAUUAGAAGAUUAAGUUGCAUAGUCAAGAGGUUAAGUUGUCAAGUUGUCAAGUUAUCAAGUUGUCGAGUUGUUAAGUUGUUAAAUCAUGAAAUUGUUUAAAGCUGUGAUUCUUUAUAUGAACUAUUAAAGAAGUGAAUUAUGAUAUAUUAUUAUCUAUGAUGAAUAUUAUGAUGAUUACAUGAUGUUGUCUAUGAGUUGUUAAAUAUGAUUGAUGAUGUUUAUGUUGUUAAAUGUAAUUGAUGAAUUAUAUGCUUAAUAUUAUUGUUUGUGAAAUCUCACCCCUUCUGUUUGCCCACCAUGGGUAACUAACAGGUAACCAAGAAUAGUUGAUGUCGUGUGAGC